rnacentral:lncRNA from 1 species
GAAGAUCCAAAGGUGGACAUUGAGUGGCCAAGGCUAUAAAUAGAAGGGUAAUCCCCUCAUUUUCACUCACCACACUACAAGCAAACUCAAGAGCUUUCACUCCACACUUGCACACACGUUUUUUGCCUCCAAGCUUCCAAGCUUUCAAGUGUUCAAGUGUCCUAGCUUUCCAAAGCUUCAAAAGCUCUCCAACUUCUUCUUCUAAUCUUCUUGUUCAUCUCUACAAGUAAGAAGUGUUGUUUGCUUAAAUAUUCCACUCCUCUAAUCACCUCUUGUGUGUGUCCACUUUGGUUGAGAGGGUUGUCUCAAUAGUGCCAAAGUGUGAGAGAAGGUUUUCGAGCUCAACCAUAAAGUUCUAGUUUGGUUUUAUAAAGUUUCCGGGAAAACUCUUAGGUCGAAUCUACCUUGAAAGAUUUCUAGAUUUUUAAGAGUUCCUUGAUACUCUAAGGUACUAACUUACCCGUAAAAGUUAGAGGUUCUUAAGAGUGCCCUCGAUACUCUAAGGUGUGAGUCUACCCGUAAAAAAUUAGUUCCUAAGCGAAGUAGCCUUAAAGCUUAGAGAGGUUUUUAAGAGUUCCUUGAUACUCUAAGGUACUAACUUACCCGCAAAAGUUAGAGGUUCUUAAGAGUGCCCUUGAUACUCUAAGGUGUGAGUCUACCUGUAAAAGACUGAUUCCUAAGCGAAAUAGCCUUAAAGCUUAGAGAGGUUCUUAAGAGUUUUCUUGAUACUCUAAGGUUUUGCCAUAACCUUUAGGCGAGUGAAUUCCGACAGUUGGUCGGGACUGGACUAGCCCUUGUUUGGGUGAACCAGUAUAAAUCUCUUGUGUUGUUCUUUGUUAACUUUAGUUUUUAUUUUUCAUCUAAAAACAAUUAAACAACACUUAAUUGAAAAGGAUCCCUCUUCCAGUUAUCUGGUCAAAUACAGAGGUUGACUACUUUACGCAGAUCCCUCAUCCAGUUAUCUGGUCAACUAUCUGAGGUUAUAUUCAUUGCUUUAAAUCCUUAUUCAUAUAUUUGUUCAAGCAUUUACUUAUCAUAUAUAUCUAGUUAUCUGGUCAUUUACUUGUUUAUCAAUAUAUCCAGUUAUCUGGUCAUUUACUAUACAAUACAAUUUGUGUUUACAAUAUAACUUAGUACUCAUAUACUAUAGUUACUUGUAAAACACUAUCAAGCAAGUUGACUCAGUAUUCAUAUACUGUGGUAAGCUUCGAAGAGUAAUAAUUAUAUUAUUAUAUCAAUCAAAUUUGUAAUAUCUCUAUAUCAUUAUUAUUCAACCAUUUGUUUAUUAAGUGUUUACAGGUAAUUUCGCAAUCAACCUGUAUAAAUCGAAAAAAGACUAUUAUCCCUCCUUAUAGCCUCGGAUCACGAUCCAACACAUGGCACACGCAACUGCUGAGAUAACCUUUGUUCAAUAUUUAUUAAAUGAGUUUAAAAUCAAACCAACAAGAGAAGUAUUAAGGUCUACUGGACCAACAAAAUACUUUUUUGGGCUCAACCCAACUGUGAUGAACUUCAUCACAACCCUAGGUAUAAAAGACUAACUCAGUUAGCCGACAGAAGAUAGCUCUCGACUCUCAUCUUCCGCACUCUGUAAUAAUCUAGAUUUCGAUCAUCAAUAUAUUCCGCACUCUGCUGGCCAACUCUUGUGUGUGUAUCUUGCUUCGCUUCAUCUUUCUCAUCUCUCUCACACACCGCGUUCUCCACCUCACUACACGCCGUUUACGGAUUCUUCAAAAAGUAAUUCUCCAUUAUGAUUUAUGACAAUGUAUCAGCUAUUAAUAGAGUCAACAACCAAAUAUUCCAUGGAAUUGAAGAACCAAACAUAUAAAGAUCGAAUGUCAUUUCAAUUAGGUUCAAUAUCUUUGGCUUUCAACGGAACAAUCAAUCAACCAGCUGAUCUACUGACCAAACCACUAGGAGAGAAGGAAAUACCUAGAUUUUUUGUUAAGUUGAAUGUCAUAGAUCCAUACAAGAUUAAUUAAGCUUAAUCUUAAUCUUAUUCCUAUUUUUAUUUUGUAAUUAAUUGAUCCACAGAUCAUGUAUUAAGCCCAAACUCAUGUUAUGGGCCCAACUAGACAGCUUUUAAUAUAAAAGAACGUCUAGAGUUUCUUUUCUACGGCUUCCAAAACCCUGUCUAGGGUUUUUCACGAAAUAUGAAGGCUCCAUUGAUACCAAGAAGAGUUAAAUCGUUGGAGUUGACAGAACUUGAAAAGUGAAGAAAAUAAGGUAAUUACAGUCAAAAUCUUGGUCGAUCAGUAUGACUAUUAACUUGCAAUGACGUAUGUAAGUAACACCUUUAGCAUCAGGAUUUCAUCUAACAUGCAGUAACAGAGUACAUAACAGGUAUGCCAAUAAAUAUUCAAAAUUCGUAACGAUUUCGAAUACUUAAAAUACUAUCCGAAGUUAAAC